rnacentral:tRNA from 1 species
GCGGGCAUCGUAUAACGGCUAUUACCUCAGCUUCCCAAGCUGGUGACGCGAGUUCGACUCUCGCUGCCCGCUCCA